GACGAACGCUGGCGGCGUGCCUAAUACAUGCAAGUCGUGCGGACCUUGUUGAAAGCUUGCUUUUAAAAGGUUAGCGGCGGACGGGUGAGUAACACGUGGGCAACCUGCCUGUAAGACUGGGAUAACGCCGGGAAACCGGGGCUAAUACCAGAUCGUUUUUUCCUCCGCAUGGAGGAAAAAGGAAAGGCGGCUUCGGCUGCCACUUACAGAUGGGCCCGCGGCGCAUUAGCUAGUUGGCGGGGUCAUGGCCCACCAAGGCAACGAUGCGUAGCCGACCUGAGAGGGUGAUCGGCCACAUUGGGACUGAGACACGGCCCAAACUCCUACGGGAGGCAGCAGUAGGGAAUCUUCCGCAAUGGACGAAAGUCUGACGGAGCAACGCCGCGUGAGGGAAGAAGGCCUUCGGGUCGUAAAACUCUGUUGCCGGGGAAGAACAAGUGCCGUUCGAACAGGGCGGCGCCUUGACGGUACCCGGCCAGAAAGCCACGGCUAACUACGUG
rnacentral:rRNA from 1 species